GAUGAACGCUGGCGGCGUGCUUAACACAUGCAAGUCGAACGGAAAGGCCCAAGCUUGCUUGGGUCCUCGAGUGGCGAACGGGUGAGUAACACGUGGGUGAUCUGCCCUGCACUUCGGGAUAAGCCUGGGAAACUGGGUCUAAUACCGGAUAGGACGAUGGUUUGGAUGCCAUUGUGGAAAGUUUUUUCGGUGUGGGAUGAGCUCGCGGCCUAUCAGCUUGUUGGUGGGGUAAUGGCCUACCAAGGCGUCGACGGGUAGCCGGCCUGAGAGGGUGUACGGCCACAUUGGGACUGAGAUACGGCCCAGACUCCUACGGGAGGCAGCAGUGGGGAAUAUUGCACAAUGGGCGCAAGCCUGAUGCAGCGACGCCGCGUGGGGGAUGACGGCCUUCGGGUUGUAAACUCCUGUCGCUAGGGACGAAGCGUUUUUGUGACGGUACCUGGAGAAGAAGCACCGGCUAACUACGUG
rnacentral:rRNA from 1 species